GUUCGUCCUUCCCGAACCCAGCGAACCCAACGAACCCAACGGUGCCCAGGCGUCUCGCGCCGUCGGUUAAGCGGCUCUUUGGUCAGCAGAGGCUGGGCUGCGGUCCUUUCCGCCGCCCCGGGACCAGGAAAGGGAGCGAUGAAGGCGCCGGCGCCCCGCCGCUCGGGCCUUCCACCCGCGACUCCAGCUCAGGGUCCCCGAACACUUCGGGCCACCAGGAGACCUGGCCGUCGGGAGUGUUAAAAGCGCCCCGGCCUCUCGGAAAGUGCGACCAAAGCCGACAGCGACUGGUGUCGAGGAAGAAGGGGGUCGUUUCAGGCUGUGUCAUGGAAGCAGUUUUCUCGAGUAGGAAAGACGAAUCUUACAGACCGUCUCGUGACCGCGCCUCCGCUCUGCCCAGCGUUCACUCUACAAUUGCAGUGAGCACCUGUUAUGUGCAACGAUCACAGAGAUGAGGCCGACCAGAGCCUUACUGUCGAGGAACUGGACAAACAAGAACCCACAGAGGCCCCAGGCUGCUAAAAUACAUCCCAGAGGUCGACAAAGGCGGUGCCUGGUUAAAAAGCAGCCAGAGGGAUGCAGAGCUCAUCAGGUUCUUAAAGACAGUUCCUGGGCGUUUCUUGAGAACAGUCUUCAUUCUUAAACUUUUUUUCAUUUCCUCACCUGCUUGCUGCUAACAAAAUUUCACUGUUUUCUGUUUCCCACCAUUCUACUGGAAGCUUCUGGCAGUCUCUGGAUCCUAAAUGUUAGAGCAUCCGACACUAUCAAGAAUGUCAUUCUUAAGACACUGUUCUCUGUCUAGUUUUUCCUCUUUGCCCAUUCCUUCUCAGGUUGUAGACAGCGCUGUUCUCUGCAGCCCACAUCUUCCUUGGACUUGCUGCUCUGUGGUCUCCCUGACUUCUCCCAGUCCUUUCUGCAGCUCCAGUCACAUGGGGUCACAGAGCCAGACACGACUGAGCAGCUAAGCACAGCGCACAGCAUUCUAGUGGCUAAAGUUUCUUAAGUUUAUACUGUAAUGAGGGAGACAGACAAAUACAUGCUCUGGCAGAUGGUGUGUUCGUGCCAAGAAAAAUUAUAAAUCAGGUCAUGGAGACGGGGCGUUAUGGUGCAGAAGCAGGGUGCAGAUUUCGGUAAGUUGAUUCUAGAGGACUCCUCUCUCUGUAGUUUGUGUUUUGAGAGGAGAAUGGAUGAUGUUCAUGGAUGGCAAAAGCCAGUGGCUGUCCUGGGAAGGAGUGGGUUAGGGUUCAAAUGGCUUUAACAAUAGCACUGGCCUUGCUUUGCGCAUGAAGUGCGACCGUGGGAGCAAAGAAAGAAAGUGAAGU
ensembl:lncRNA